GACAGAGGGUGCAAACGUUGUUCGGAAUUACUGGGCGUAAAGCGCGUGCAGGCGGCCUUGCAAGUCGGACGUGAAAUCCCACGGCUCAACCGUGGAAGUGCAUUCGAAACUGGCAGGCUAGAGUACUAAAGAGGGUCGCGGAAUUCCCGGUGUAGAGGUGAAAUUCGUAGAUAUCGGGAGGAACACCGGUGGCGAAGGCGGCGACCUGGGUAGAUACUGACGCUGAGGUGCGAAAGCGUGGGGAGCAAACAGG
rnacentral:rRNA from 1 species